AUACGGAGGGUGCGAGCGUUAAUCGGAAUUACUGGGCGUAAAGCGUACGUAGGCGGUUGGUUAAGUUAGAUGUGGAAGCCCCGGGCUUAACCUGGGAACUGCAUUUAAAACUGGCGAACUAGAGUUGAGGAGAGGGGAGUGGAAUUUCAGGUGUAGCGGUGAAAUGCGUAGAGAUCUGAAGGAACACCAGUGGCGAAGGCGACUCCCUGGACUCGAACUGACGCUGAGGUACGAAAGCGUGGGUAGCAAACGGGAUUAGAAACCCUAGUAGUCC
rnacentral:rRNA from 1 species